GAUGAACGCUGGCGGCGUGCCUAAUACAUGCAAGUCGAGCGAACUGAUUAGAAGCUUGCUUCUAUGACGUUAGCGGCGGACGGGUGAGUAACACGUGGGCAACCUGCCUGUAAGACUGGGAUAACUUCGGGAAACCGAAGCUAAUACCGGAUAGGAUCUUCUCCUUCAUGGGAGAUGAUUGAAAGAGGGUUUCGGCUAUCACUUACAGAUGGGCCCGCGGUGCAUUAGCUAGUUGGUGAGGUAACAGCUCACCAAGGCAACGAUGCAUAGCCGACCUGAGAGGGUGAUCGGCCACACUGGGACUGAGACACGGCCCAGACUCCUACGGGAGGCAGCAGUAGGGAAUCUUCCGCAAUGGACGAAAGUCUGACGGAGCAACGCCGCGUGAGUGAUGAAGGCUUUCGGGUCGUAAAACUCUGUUGUUAGGGAAGAACAAGUACGAGAGUAACUGCUCGUACCUUGACGGUACCUAACCAGAAAGCCACGGCUAACUACGUGCCAGCAGCCGCCGUAAAAC
rnacentral:rRNA from 1 species